rnacentral:rRNA from 1 species
AGAACGACUCUCGGCAACGGAUAUCUCGGCUCUCGCAUCGAUGAAGAACGUAGCGAAAUGCGAUACUUGGUGUGAAUUGCAGAAUCCCGUGAACCAUCGAGUCUUUGAACGCAAGUUGCGCCCGAAGCCAUCAGGUSGAGGGCACGNCUGCCUGGGCGUCACAC